CUCAUAGUAUGUGACUGUUUUUCACAGCCCUGUUGCAAAUCUCUGAGGGGAGGAGUUCAUGCAAAAUCACAGAGAGCUUCUUCAUCUUCAUAUCUGACUGCAGGGAUGAUGACAGAGAACAGUGGACUCAUCUCAACAUGAUGGACUGUAGGACAGGACUGCUGGUUUUAACUCUCUGCUUGGCAGGUGUUAAUGGUCAGACUCUGACAGAAUCUGAACCAGCAGUUAAACAACCUGGAGAGUCUCACAGAUUGACCUGUACAACAUCUGGAAUCUCAUUUAGUAGCAACGCUAUGGUCUGGAUCAGACAGGCUCCUGGAAAAGGACUGGAAUGGAUUGCUUAUAUCAAUUCUAACAGUGCCUACAUCUAUUAUUCUCAGUCAGUCCGAGGCAGGUUUACCAUCUCCAGAGACAACAGCAGAGAGCAGCUGUAUCUGCAGAUGAACAGUCUGAAGACUGAAGAUUCUGCUGUUUAUUAUUGUGCCCGAUAGUCACAGUGAUAGGAGUUGGUUAAGCAGCUGUACAAAAUCCUUCCGGGUUUGUUUUAUUGGCUCCCCACCUGCAAUAUAGCAGAACAAUUUUGCAACACAUAU